CAGUUGAAGCACGCUGGGCUCUGGUAGGCCGGACGUAGCUCCAGAGACAAAGCUUCUAGCUGCUCCCUCUGCUUUGGGGGUCCUGGGAUUGGGCAGUACCUGGAGCAGGGCGUUCCUGACAUAAGACAGGUGGAGAGACGCAACAACACCCGCACCACCCCAAAGGCCCUGUGGAUACUUCACGAGAGUUGAAGGCACAGGCCACCAUAGUGAACCCUGAGGAUGAGGUAUUGGAAGAGGAGGCAGCGAGCCUGGUGCAGGGGAAGGAACCUCUGCUGCAGGUGCGGUCUUGAGGGUCUCUCCAUCCACACCAGUGGAGUGGCUUAGUUAGGUAAGGAGGAGACAGAAGAGGACAAAGGAAGACAUGUCCCAGGAGAUCCUGCAAGCCUCUGGUGCUUUGGAUACCAAGCAGAGGGCUUGGAGGAUGACACUUGAGGACAGAAUGGACAGGGAUAGUGAGGACAGGAGAAAUGGACAGCAAGAGAUGAUAGUGCUUCUCAGGGAGCAAACAGACAUGCUGUGGUCUCUGACUGACCUACAAGCUCAACAGAUCUAUGCUCACCUCCCCCUGCAGCCAAUAGAGAACUGCAUUCUGGUACAUCUCUAAAUGCCCUCCCCCCCAAUCCACAUGGUGUCCGGGGCCUGUGCAAUACCCCUACCACUCCACCUGGGGGAGAGUGUUGUGAAGGGGAAAGAACGGUCACUUCCAUUUCAAAGGUUCUUGUCCCUAUAUUUAUAAAGUUUUGUUCAGCUUUAAAUAUGUCUAUUUGCAUGGGUUCAGAAUAAAAGUCUAUUUAUGGAAACUUAAUUCAUCUUUAUUAGUUCACAAGAUAUGGUGGCUGGGGUUGGCAUCAUUCACAGAUAAUAGCAAUAGGUGCAUUCACAGUAUUAUAUUACUACACAGAGAGCUCUCAUUACAAGGUUCAAACUGGGGUGCAAACUAAAAAAAAUGCCAGGUGCAGCACACUAGAGCAACACGCAUUUCUGUGGCUCAUUGUUAUAAUGGUCCUUAAGUCUCCCUGAGCUGUAUAGGCCCCCAUUGUGAUCUUCUUAUAGCUCUGGUGUCUGGCUGCUCAAAAUCAGCAGCCAGCCAUUCCGCCCCUGUGGAAACCUCUCCCCCUUUGCUUCACUGAUAUUAUGAAGCACAAAGCAGGCAGCUAUGACCAUGGGAAUAUUUUUUUCACUGAGGUCUAAUCUCGUGAGUAGACAGCAACAGUGGCCUUUCAAAUGGCCAAAGACACAUUCAACUGUCAUUCUGCACCUGCUGAGCCUAUUGUUGAAGCAUUCCUUGUUGCUGUCAGGGUAGCUGGUGUACGGCUUCAUUAACCUUGGGAGCCAAGGGUAGGCUGGAUCUCCCAAGAUCACUGUUGGCAUUUCAGCAUCCCUUUUGGUAAUCCUCUAGUCUGGAAAGAAAGUCCCUGCUUGCAGCUAUUUGUACAGGCCUGUGUUCUUAAAGAUGCAUGUGUCAUGCACCUUCCCUGACCUGCUCACAUUGAUGUAGGUGAAAUGACCCUGGUGAUCCACCAGCACUUGCAAUGCCAUAGAAAAGUAGCUCUUUCUGUUGAUGUACUCCAUGGCAAGGUGGUUUGGUGCCAAAAUAGGGAUAUACGUGCCAUCUGUCACGCCACCGCAGUUAGGGAACCCCAUUGCUGCAAAACCAUCCACUAUUUCUCAAACAUUGCCCAGAGUCACAGUCCUUUUUAGCAGGACACAAUUAAUGGCCCUCCACUCUUGCAUCACCACAACCCCCACGAUGGAUUUUCCAACUCCAAAUUGGUUCCUGACUGAUCAAUAGCAAUCGGGCAUUGUAAGCUUCCACACAGCAAUCGCCACGCGCUUCUCCCCGGUGAGUGCAGAUCUUAAUUCAGUGUCACUGUGCUGGGGGUGUUGGGGGGAGCUCUGCACACAGUUCCAGGAAUAUGGUCUUCUGCAUGUGAAAGCUCUGCAGCUGCUGCUCGUCAUCCCAUACCUGCAUAACGAUGUGAUUCCACCAGUCAGUGCUUGUUUCCACCAUGUGAAUGCUAACAACCAUGAAUUGUUUCUUUCCAUGGCACACAACAGGGCAGCCUGCAAGGAAUCAUAUUAUUCCGUCUCACGACUCUGGAAAUACUGCAGGAUCAGGUGUUUUGUGUUCGUAUCACUCAUCACAAUACUGUGCAGGAUCCACAGUUCUCACAGAGAUGGUGGACAUGUGGGUUUGCAGGGCUUUUGGAAAGUGACAUGAAACUUAAUAGGAUGGCCCUGGAAUGACGGGAUGGAGAAAACUGCAUCAUGGGAUGUUGAACCCAUGUUCCCAGUCUCCCCUGCAUGACUCAUUUGCCCCCAUGAAGCAUUGCAAACACUUUCCAAAACACCCUGCACUACAUGGUGGCGAGUUGUACAGUAGGAUAGCUAUCAUGAUGCACUGCAUUGAUGCAAGUGCUGCACACUGCCAACACAAGGAGCGUAGUGUGUGCAUGCAAAAGCGAUUUAAUUACUGCGGUGGCUGUAUGUUGGCAUAACUUUGGUUUACUUAAUUUUGUAGUGUAGACAUGGCCUAAAUGUUGACAGCCUUGUUGAGCCAUAGGCAGUUGACCUGGCCAUGCUCUGGUAAAUUACAUGGUAACUACAGUGAGACAAGGUGGGAGAUAAUGUCUUUUAUCUUGGACCAACUUCUGUUUGUGGAAGGGCCAAGCUUUUGAGCAUCACAGAACUCUUCCUCAGAUUUAGAGAAGGAAACAAAUGUCCAAGCAAAAUACAAGGUAGCAUAGAUUGUAGAGCAUAACGGGUUUCCAGCCUGUUGUACUUAAUAUGAAUGGGCAAGUAAUCGCUUUACUAUCAUAGGACAAUGGAGGCUUAUUCAGCUCAUUGACAUACUGAGUCAAAUGCUAAUGGUGGGAUGUGAAAUCAACAUGAAAGAAGCACAUAGGAAAAAACAGAACUGGAAAAAACUAAAACUAUGGUUUGCGGGACUGUUUCUACAGGGUGCAGAUGAACUCCGAGUUAUUCCUCAGUCUAUGAGGACAAGCUGCCAACAGGCUUGGUCUUAAUGAGAAGUGAUAUCAACCAAACUGGUUGAAAAUGGAGGGAGGGGGAAGAACUUGGGGUAAAUUUUCUUUUAGGAAACAGAAGAAUGCUUUGUUAGUUAAGUUGAUGCUCUAGAAUCAUCAUGUUCCUAUUACGCCUCUGGCGUUUAGGGCAGUGAUGAAGCUCCUCUACUGUCUGUUUCUGGCAAGGCUUUCAAUGGUGUCCCAGGUUUUUCAGCUCAGCUUCCACAGCUCUUUGCUGUCUUGUUUUCAGACGGCCUUGUUUUUGCUUGCCUUCAGGUGUCCAUCUUAUUGCUACUCUGGUGAUGGAAUCAGUUUCCAUCUGAAGCACAUAACCGAUCCAUCUCCAACACCUCCUGGCAAUGAUGGUGCUCAGAUCCACUUGGCUGCGCUGUAUCAAUAGAUCUUGGGUUUGAGAUUGUUCUGGGCCAAAAGAUACGGAGGAUUUUUCUGAGGCAGGGUGUAUGGAAUGAAGACAGUUUGGACAUGUCAUAUUUUCUCAUUCCCCAGCAUUCUGCACUAUAAAGUAGUGUUGAAAGUACGCAGCUCUGAUAAAUCUUGUUUGGUUUUGUUUUUUGAUGAUUUCCAGACAGUAUUUAAGCUCCUGAAGGUGUUCCUGGCUUUAUUGAUUUUGUUCCAGAUGUCCUGGCUUGUUCCAGCAUCCUGGCUGAUGGUGCUGCCCAAAUAUGUGAAUGUUUCUACAUUAGUGAGAACAUAAUCCUCUAACCAUACUGGUGAUGAGCGAAGAUCUGAUCUGUGCAUCCACGCCCUUUCUGAAAACCAGCUUGCUCUUUUGUGAGAAUGCUAUCAACUGCCUCUGAUAUACGUUGGACUAUGAUCUGACACAGUACUUUGCUUGGCACAUAUAAAAGUGUGAUACCACACCAGUUAUUACAAUCACUGAGAGUUUCUUUCUUUGGCAUCUUCACUAUAAUCCCAUUGGUCCGCUCAUCAAUGGGCACUUUUUCCUGUUCCCAGACUGAUGUAAAUAGAGGGGCCAGAAUAGAUGCUGCUAAUUUAGGAUUUACCUUGAAAGAUUCUGCAUUCAAGUUAUCCUUGCCAAGAGCUU